AAUCUUCACAAUAAACGGGCUGAAGGAUGAGGGUUGGUCUUACAAGAUUAAGGUUAGCUUCGUUGAAAUUUACAACGAAGUUAUCCGAGAUCUCCUGCUCUCUCCAGGAGAGCCAACAAAUUUGAAUUAUGAACAUAGAUUAGUGGACAAAACAAAAACUGAGACCUUUGUCACUAAUUUGAAAAUCAAAAUGGAAGCAAAAGGAGUGAAUUCACUUUCGAUCAGGUGUACGGGCCAAGAGCAACACAAACAAAAAUAUUCGAAGAAAUAUCACAGCUCUGUCAGUCGGUAAUAGACGGACAGAACGCAUGUGUAUUGGCGUAUGGGCAAACAGGCUCGGGAAAGACUUACACAAUGGAAGGUGUGCUUCAGAACGAAGAGCAGCAGGGCAUGAUUGCUCGGACGGUGAAGUAAAUCUUCACAAUAAACGGGCUGAAGGAUGAGGUAUGAGAAUUCUUAAAUUUUCUUUCAAGACACAAAUAACCCGCACAUGGAAGAGAGAAGCUUACGACGACGUUUCUGUCUGACUUGGACCAUUU